CAAAGACAGCCCUGAUGUUGACAUCUGUAGCUGCCCAGUGACUGUGAUCUUUCCCUGAGUCCCCUUCCAAUCAGAGUGCUCUCAGAGAAGGAUGUAGAAACAG